rnacentral:tRNA from 1 species
CGCGGGAUGGAGCAGUGGCAGCUCGUCGGGCUCAUAACCCGAAGGUCGGAGGUUCGAAUCCUCCUCCCGCAA